UGGCGAACGGGUUGAGAGGAACGCUGGGUAACCUGCCCAUCAGAAGGGGAUAACACUUGGAAACAGGUGCUAAUACCGUAUAACAAUCGAAACCGCAUGGUUUUGAGAGGAAAGGCGCUUCUCAUUGGUCGCUGAUGGAUGGACCCGCGGUGCAUUAGCUAGUUGGUGAGGUAACGGCUCACUCAUUGCACGAUGCACUCAUUGCCUGAGAGGGUGAUCUCAUUGAUUGGGACUGAGACACGGCCCAAACUCCUACGGGAGGCAGCAGUAGGGAAUCUUCGGCAAUGGACGAAAGUCUGACCGAUGGGAUUAGCGUGAGUGAAGAAGGUUUUCGGAUCGUAAAACUCUGUUGUUAGAGAAGGACGGGAUGAGAGUAACUGUUCAUCCCUUGACGGACGAACCAGAAAGGACGAACUACGUGCCAGCAGCCGCGGUAAUACGAGUAGGUCAAGCGUUGUCCGGAUUAGUAGGUGUAA
rnacentral:rRNA from 1 species